rnacentral:rRNA from 1 species
CACGGUGGGUGCCCUGGCAGUCAGAGGCGAUGAAGGACGUGCUAAUCUGCGAUAAGCGUCGGUAAGGUGAUAUGAACCGUUAUAACCGGCGAUUUCCGAAUGGGGAAACCCAGUGUGUUUCGACACACUAUCAUUAACUGAAUCCAUAGGUUAAUGAGGCGAACCGGGGGAACUGAAACAUCUAAGUACCCCGAGGAAAAGAAAUCAACCGAGAUUCCCCCAGUAGCGGCGAGCGAACGGGGAGCAGCCCAGAGCCUGAAUCAGUGUGUGUGUUAGUGGAAGCGUCUGGAAAGGCGUGCGAUACAGGGUGACAGCCCCGUACACAAAAAUGCACAUGCUGUGAGCUCGAUGAGUAGGGCGGGACACGUGGUAUCCUGUCUGAAUAUGGGGGGACCAUCCUCCAAG